GAUGAACGCUGGCGGCGUGCCUAAUACAUGCAAGUCGAGCGAACGGACGAGAAGCUUGCUUCUCUGAUGUUAGCGGCGGACGGGUGAGUAACACGUGGAUAACCUACCUAUCAGACUGGGAUACCUUCGGGAAACCGGAGCUAAUACCGGAUAAUAUUUUGAACCGCAUGGUUCAAAAGUGAAAGACGGUCUUGCUGUCACUUAUAGAUGGAUCCGCGCUGCAUUAGCUAGUUGGUAAGGUAACGGCUUACCAAGGCAACGAUGCAUAGCCGACCUGAGAGGGUGAUCGGCCACACUGGAACUGAGACACGGUCCAGACUCCUACGGGAGGCAGCAGUAGGGAAUCUUCCGCAAUGGGCGAAAGCCUGACGGAGCAACGCCGCGUGAGUGAUGAAGGUCUUCGGAUCGUAAAACUCUGUUAUUAGGGAAGAACAUAUGUGUAAGUAACUGUGCACAUCUUGACGGUACCUAAUCAGAAAGCCACGGCUAACUACGUG
rnacentral:rRNA from 1 species